rnacentral:lncRNA from 1 species
AUUCUUUCUAAAGUCAGGCAUAGUGACACAUGCUGUAAUAGUUGUCUUUGGGAGGCAGAGCCAGGCGGAUCUCAGGUUUGCGGCUAGCCUGGUCUACAUAGUGAACUCCAGGCUAGUCACAUUACACUGGAAAAGCACAGGAUUAUUCUUUCUUGGAGUUCAGUAUAUGGAAAUGAAAUGAAACAUGUUGCAUCUUAUUGUAUGACUCAGUAUAUAGUGAAAGUUGCCCUGCCUUGAUAUUCAGCAGAUAAUAUCAGAACCAUUGCAGCUGAAUACAUCAGGGUUAUUACAGAAGUUCCAACUAUAAUCAUACACUUCAGAGACCCUUUUAAGGAAUCCCUUUUCCUGGAACAUUGUGAUGCAUUUCCUUCCCCUGGCUUACACACCUGGGUUGUUUGUUUGUUUGCUUUGUUUCUCUCUGGGUUCUUAGCUGAUCCGGAUCGUCCAUUUCCAUGCUGACCAGAUACAGACCUGUUAGUCGAAUUUCCUUCUUUGCAGACUCUCUUGCAGCUAGAGGUAGAUAGCCAUGUGAGGGGAAUCUGGGAAAGAAGUAUCAAGAAACCGAAAACAGUUUGGCUCUUCCUGCCUAGGUGUGAUGUGAGAAGACAGGACUUGAACCUGUAGCCAUUGUGAGGAAAUGCAUUGAGCUGCAGAGACGGUGUCCCAGUUCCAUGGUGUUGAGCUGCUAACCUUGAGAAUCUUGGGCUCACAACCUCCCAGUUCCUUUGAGGUAUUUUGUCAUGACAAUGAGAAGAAUAACUAAAAUAUAGUUGAAAAGGUGAGUGUAACUACUUUCACAUACAAGCAAUAACCUUUAGGUUCAGAGUUUGAGCCUGCGUAGUCAUCUGACUCCAACACCAUGCCUGUACAUUACUAUAGUUAGAGUAUGUGAGAAUACUAUGCAUUACUGACUAGACAAGUCUAUUAUUUCUCUCUCUAGCAACGUAGGGCUCUUCCCUCAUUUUGGACAAUUGUAAUAUUUUUCUAAAGAUUCCCCUUGAGUCCCAUGCACUACUGGAAAGUACUUAGGUGCUUAGCUGUAACUGAUGCAUCUGAAUUCAAAUCAGCUUUUGAUUCCUACCUAUGAAUAUCAACACAUACAUAUGAAAUAAAAGUAUCUGUAAUCAUUGUACUAGGUGGCACCCCUUUAUUGCGAGAUCUAUUGGCACAAUAAAAGAAUAUAGGUUUUUGUGUCAAGUCUGGAUAUGUGGUACAGAUAUCCAGAAUACAGACUGAGAAGGUUCCUCAUAGUGACACUUAGUGUGUAAUGAUUAACCACAGGGAAGGAGUUAUUACAGGUAUGAGCAUGUGCACAGGAGAGUGUGUGUGUGUGUGUGUGUGUGUGUGUGUGUGUGUGUAGUUGGUAUCUUUAUUACCAUUUAAAAAUAAUGUAAAUAAAAUGGCAGUUUGGGGGAGAUACAAAUGAGUUCUUUAUAUCUCUAAAGCCUGUAUUACUUCAGGCUCAUUUAUGGAAAGUUGUAAUUAUUGCAGUCUCCUAAGCUUGUCCUGAUUCAAUGCAUCUAUGACACAAGCCCAGCUCUACCUCUUGUCCUCUGUGGCUCUCCUCUGCCUUUCUCCAUCAUAUCCUUUCUGUCCUGGAUGACUGUCCUUUUCGAAAACAGUUUACAGAGAGCAUAGAUUCCCUCCCCUUGCCUUCCCUUAGAAUUUCUACUCAUUUUGUUAGCACUUGUCAGAAAUACUGAAAACCACAAGACCAUUUUCCACAGAUUUUUAUUACGAAGCCUCAUGCUAGUGAGUCCCACAAUCCUGUCAACCAUCACACAUACAGGCAAACGUUCACCUCCCCAAAUCUCACACAUACAUCUUUUAAAGAAGCAGAGGGCCACAAUCGCACAGGAGCCUGCAUGUUUUAUUUCUGUGCACCACAGUUAGGAUGUAGUCUGCUCCUGACAAAGCUCGUGUUGAAAUGUGACUGGUGAUCUCAUAGUGUUAGGAUAUAGAGUCUUUAAAAGGGAUGAUACUGUCCAGUGAGGUUGGAUUAUUUCUCUUGAGGACACACUAGUUCUCAGGGGAGUGUCUGGGCCUCUGUUGCCUUCUGACUGUGCCCAACUACUUCAAACCUCUCGAUGUGAAUCCGCUGUCAUGAUGGUAUCCUGGAACUAUGAGCUGAAUAAACUCUUUCUGCCUCGAGUUGCUUUUGUAUUUUGUCGCAGCAAGGGAAAAAACAAACAAACAAACAAACAAACAAACACAGCUGGCUUCUGCUCAUAGUCUACAAAAGUAAGUCACAGUGAAAGGUGUAAGUCCAGAGGCCAGCCUGACCAACCCAGAACAUGCUGUCUCAAAAGGGGGAAAAAAAAGAGUAUGUAGUUUUACAGAAGUCAACCAGCCUUUGGUAUUUCAUCAAAUCCUAGUUACAAUACCCAGUAUCAAUGUUAAGUACGUAAAGUUUUCAUAUUAAAUGUAUGCAUUAAAUAAUUUAAAUGUGAUUUUGAAAUCCUUUUUUUUUUUUCAUUUAAAAUCUUCAAAUAUUCUUGAAAGUAAUGGUGGGUUAAAAUGAGCCUUUUAAAAAGUAGGUCUUGCUCAUCGGUCACUUCACAGGCACGAGGGGGUCAAGGAAUCCAGAUGCUAGCUGCAUCCUGAGCCAGGUGUUCGCACAGGUGCAGAAGUGCUCGGCUCUUGGGAUUGACUUUACUCUAUGUAAACUUUACUGCAGUAACAGUAAGAGUUACAAAAUAAUGGUACAUUUCGGUCAAAUCCUGGCCUUGGUCAGAUGAUCUUCCUGACCUAAGGACGAAUAAGCCAUAAAGGAAGGGAGAAAGAACUACUUGAAUCCGACCCUUGCCUUGUCCAUCGCGGCCCCAGGUUGGUUUCCAGCGAGAGCUCCUUUCCAUCCAUGCCUUUGUCUCACAAGGUUGGGAUCACAACUGUAUACCUGCAGUAAAUUUAUAUAGAAAAUGCCUGACACAUAGCAGCUGCUCUGGUCAAGAAGUUUAUAAAUAUUAUUUUUGCAGCUGUUUUCAAUCCUUUACGUUUACUUGAAAUUUGCUUUUAAAUUGACUAAUAAAAAAAAGCAAAAUAAAUAUGGGAUAUUUUGUGUCCUAUAUGAUGUUUUAAUAAAUUGUAUGUUUUAUAUAAUGUAUAGAUCAGGUUCAAUAUCUCAAAGAUUUACAGUUUCUUUAUGAUAAAAACAUUCAACACCUGUUCUAGCUUUUUGCAAUACAGUGAAUUAUCAUUAUCCAUAGGUACCCUCGUUAGCCCAUCUUCCUCCUCCUGUGUAGCUGAGAGUUAGUACCCACUGAUCCACCUUUUCUUGUGCCUCUUACUCCUGCUCUUCCCAGCAUCUGGAGACCCUGGCUUCUGUAAGAUCAAUUUUAAAAAUACAUAUUUACUUUUGGUAUGUGCAUGUCUUGGGUAAUAUUUCUUUUGCUGUGGUGAAACACUAUGACCAAAGCAACUUGGGGGAUUUUUUGGCUUACACUUCUAUAGCACUGUUCAUCAAGACAGGAACUCAAGCAGGGCAGGAACCUGGAAGAGGGGCUGAUGAAGAGGCCCAUGGAGGGGCGCUGCUUGCUGUCUUGCUUCCUAUGGCUUGCUCAGCCUGCCUUCUUAUUGAACAGAGGGCCACCGGUCCAGGAGUGGCCCCGUUCACAAUGAGCUGAGCCUGCCCUGUCAAGCAUUAAUUAAGCAAAUGUUCUUCCCACUUGCCUACAGCCCAAUCUUAUGGGUUGACAUUUUCUUGAUUGAGCAACUGUUCCAUCCUCUCAGAUGGCUCUAGAUUGUGUCAGCUCGACAUAAAACUAUCCAGCAGAACACAUGUCUCCAUGAAUGCCACAGAGCACAAAUGCAGGUCAGAGGUCAACUCAAAGAAGUCAGCCCUUGCCUUCCCUUCUAUAGGCUCAAGGAAUCAGACUCAGGUCUUCCGGCUUGGUGACAAGUGCUUUUACCCACCGAGCCAAGAAACCCCUUUUAUUUCCACAAAGGAAGUAUUCUCUAGUCAUUUUUGGCUUAAACAUUUUAUUUCAGUUUAGCCUAAGAGGUUUGUGAGCUUGCAGAGCAGGUCAACCAAGAUUCUUGGAUAAAAGCAAAGAAAGGAAGUUUGACACAAAAUCUCUUUCCACUAAAGAAGGACGCAGACUCCGCCAAUGAAAUUGCUUAAGAGUUAGGCUUGCUUUGGGUUAUUUUUAAUACUUGUGAGAUGUAGACCCUUCAACAAUACCACUUGCAAAUUGGGUGCAGCAGCAAGCUUUGGAAAGUAUAUUUCUGGCAGUAAUAACCUUACAAUUUGUUUUGGUUUAUUUGUUAAGCUCGGACUAAUUGCUAUCACAUGCAUAUCCACAGAAUGCUGAGGAAAUCAAUUGAUGGAGGGGUUUAUUUUUGAAAUAACAGUUAACUAAAAAUGGAAAGUGAGUUUCAAAGCGCUGUCCUUUACAACGAUCUCUUAUUUAAGAUGCACAUUUGCCUGUUAUACAGUUGAGCAUGAUCUUAUCCAAUCUACAUUUUAUUUUUAUUCGACUAAUCCUAAGCCCAUUUGUAGAGUAUGUUUUUGUUAAUCUGUGGUUUUUAAGUUUAUUUUACAACUAUCAAGAAAGAUCAUGGUGACCUGGGUACAGUGAUCUCAAUGGUACAGGAAAUGAAUCAGCCCUGUGGAAAUGGCCAGGGCCACUCAAGGUUAGACACUCUGAAGGACAGCCCUGAUGUCCCUCAGCCCAGGAUGUUACACUGUUUUGUUUUUUACUAAGUCAGGAAAUAUAAAUCAGAAUGGUUUAUUUUCAUUUUAAUUUUUGAUAUGUAUACAAGUAUUUCUGCAUGUAUGUUUGUGUACCACAUGCAUGUCUGGUGCCCAAGAGACCAGAAGAGAACAUUGGAUCCCUUGGGACUUGAGUCAGACCUCAGUUGUGAGCCACCAUGUGGAUGCUGGGAACUGAACCCAGGUCCCCGGAAGAGCAGCUAGUGCUCUUAAACGAUGAGCCAUUUCUCCAGCCCCCAUGAAAUGAUUUUCAAACUGUAAUUUACAUUUAAUAUGUCUUUCUGGUCAUGUACUCUGAACCAAUGGGUCUAAUUGUUCCCCUGGAGGAAAAAAUUUAGUGUUCUAAAUUUUUUCAUGCUCAGAAAGUCUGAAAACAGCGAGAAUGGUGAAUUCAUUUUAUUUUACCCAAGAGCAUAUUGGUUACACUGCAUGGAAGUGUAAGAGUGGUUACACAGUUAAAAAUAAGAUUCACCCACUUCUCACCUUCCAACACGGUGGCUGCCAGCUGCCACAAGACAGCUGCAGGGCAAGCAGCUGCCAGUGGAUGGGCAGAGACAACUUACUGGAACCGGCAAGUGUUUCCUGUAAAUGACUUGGGGAAGGGUUUGAAACUCACUUCUUGGCCAUGGACAAGGACUUUUGAGGUCCUGUCAAGUAGCUGAUUUAUUUAUAUGUGGGAAGACCUCAGUAAGGACUGCUGGGCAUGCUUGAUGCCACAUUUCUGUGAAGGCCUCACAAAUCAGUGAAGAGACCCUACAUCAAAAGAAAAUUUCUACAGCAAGGAAGCCUUUGUUUGAGGUAGCCAAUCAUGAAAGGUCUGCUUUAUAGCCUAUAGUGACAUAACUCUGUACCACUGUAGUGACCCCUGGGGACAAGAGGGAGAUAAAUAUAAAACAAAAUGGAAACCAAACCAAACCAAAAAAAAAAAAAAAAAAAAAACCCAAAUCCAUAAAAUGGUCUACACCAUGUUUGGACAGACAUCGGACCAUCCAGCCUUUCUGUUUUUAUCCAGUCAUGACGUCUCCUCUUGUUCUGUGAGCUUCUUCCCAAGUAUAGUUUGCCCAUUCACUGGACACCCCACAGCCCACGAAGUCAACUAUGUGUCUCUCUCUCUAAGCUCCAGAGAGGACUGAGCAGAUGGAAUUGAACUGAGUCUCUUUGCUCUCCCUCGUUCAACAUUGUAUCAAGGAGGCAUAAAGUCUUGGGGGAGUUUCAGCUUAGGGGCACUGACCACUCAGCAUCUCCAUUGAUAUCACAGAGCUGAUGAGCCACAUGCUCAACUCACACAGUUAGUAGUCUGACGAAAGGUGUCUUAGAUGUCUAGUGAGUGUGCAUGUGGUAGUUGUAAUUAAUUAAAUACAAAUUCAAUUAACAGUAUGUUACUGACUUUGCAAUAUCCCUUAGUUAUAUAGUUUUCUUGAUCUAUACUUAAGGUGUCCAAUUCAGCUAUUGACAGCUAUAGCUGUUUUCCUUUUCAAAAGAAAUUUGGGAGCCUGGAAAUUAUGAGGAUAAAAAUAUCACCCGUCGUUAUUUUGUAAAUUCUGUGAACUGCUAUAAAAGCCUUUUCCAUAAUGGGGGUGACAAUUCUGUCUAUACUUUAAAUUUGAAGUACAAUUUACACAACAUAAACUUACCUAAUUUUGAAAAGUAUAUAAUUUAGUGAUUUGGUAAAUUUGUAUAAUGUUAUAUAAUAAUCACCACAAUCCAGCUUUAGACCAUCACCCCAUCAGGUUCCUAUAUGUCUACUUAUACUCCAGUUUCCUAACUGAAUCCCCAAGGAACUAAUCACUUUUCUGGGUCUAUAAAUUCUUUGUAUCUUUUUUUCCUAUAAAUUGUGUCCUACAACGGGGGAAACAAAGUAAUGCUCCCCACCUGUACAUUGCUCUUUUGAGAAAACAGUUGAUACAUGUGAUUGGAAUAUGCUGUGGUGGGUCUUGCUGACAGCUUUCUUUAGUGUCCCCUUAGCAGCUGACUCCUGAGAACAACUGCCACUCGGACUGGGAGGGGGAGGGAUUCAGAGAUCCUGCCCCCACCCCAUAGAAAGUGUUCGUUAUAUAAUGCUAAUCACUAGGUGUUUCACAGAUGUGCAGAUUGCACCAAACAGACAUGCAAGCACGCCAAAAGGAGCUAGGAUGGGAAAUCCUAGCAGGAUGCGAGGAUGCAGGAUGCGAGGACCCGGCAUGGCUGUCAAAUUCCUGAUCGCUUCAUGGUUGGAUAAGUAACAGAUGACACCCAAAAGGGUGAAAGAGAAAAUCCUCCAACAGCCUGUACUGUGAAUGUUAAAAGGAAGGUUAGAGGAGUUUGAUAAAGGUACCCACUGUGAAUGGAAAAAGAUGUUCCCAGAUGCCAGAACAUUCCAGUGUCAGGGGUGGGGCUCCUCCCUGUCAGGACUAGGAAGGUCCUUUAAGUCCCUCAAACAAUACAGCUUAUUGAUGCUGUUGUUUACUGUCCACCAGAACUAGGGGUAACAGUCGUGAGAGCAGCGUGGUUGCAAGGCCUACAUGGGUUCACUUUGGACCCUGGUUUGGACUUGUUCCCUUACAUCGCUGCUGCAAUGGUCCCGAUUUUAUUUUGUUCCAUACUCAAGUGGCCAUAAGGCUUUGUUUGUGUCAAUCAAAACCUAAGGGUUUUUUUUUUUUUUUAUCGAGCUUGUAUAGAAAUACAAUUUAAGAUAUAAGUGAGUGUCCACACCUGCUUUGCAUCUGCAGUUUCAUUUCUCUUCUCUAUUUUCGUAUGAUAGAAUCAGUUCCUGCUUUGAUCUCAAGCUGAAGAUAUUUUCCACACUACCCAGAAAAUAUCGACAUUAUGAACAUUCUGUCAUUAAGCCCCUCCCCCCCCCAAGAACUAAACAAAUCAGAACACCUGACAACUUAAUGAGAUAAAGAUUACUCAUUAAGUGCCCGAUAUGGGCAGAGGACCUCACAGCUGGUUCUACAUUAGACUCACCUGUGGUGGAAAUAUAAACUUCUGGCAUCCCCGGUCCCCUAGGCAAAACUACACCACUGUGAAGGGCAUACCAAUGCAGUUCCAGGAGCCACAAAGUCACACUUCAGUGCCUCUGAAAGUCAAAAUCCCUGUUGCCAGUGCACUGUGUCCUGUGACACAGCUGAAAGGUUGUGUCCCAGACCCUUAGGCACAACGCUUUCCGAAGUCAAUGUCAGGUGUGGCCACAGGGCGUUUAUAUUUGGGGAGAUCUUCCCUCACAUGGAACGUGAGUGAGAUUGAGAGGCCAAGGGAGAGAAUGGAGCAAAUCCUGUGGUAUAAGAGAGCUUGGAGGAAACAUGGCCGUCAAUCAACGGAUUCCCUGACCUGGUGAUUUUUAUCUAUGUGGGUUAGGGUGGUUGCAGAAGAUCAGUCUGUGAGAGGUGGUUGAAGGAGAUAAAAAAGUCCAAGAAGGCAGAUGUGCCUCUUCCUGAGCACAGAUUAGAAUUCAGGCUUCUCAUGGAACAUCACAGCCUCCAUUUCCACCCUUCUAGUCCUCCCCACGUCUUGGUUCCAGUGUGGUAUCAGCUUCUACAUCCUCUGGAUGCAUACACUUGCAAGUAGGUUUAUGAAAAAGUUAUUUCACCCACCCCUUCAAACCUUUUAAUUUUGUUUAGGAAAAAUGAUAGCUCCCAUUAGCCUAACUUUCAUCAAUAUAUAUCCCCUGCCAUCAGGAGAGGGAAUGUCAGGCCAUGUUGUGGUCAUAGUUUUGUUAAUAAGCUCCAGUAAAUUCCUUAAGCUGUCUGAGUUGAACGUCUUUCCUUUAUAAAGUUUCUAGAGAUGGUCUCCCAUGUGCCUCUUCUGUUGUAGUUCUCAUAGAGAACUACAGAGACCUGACUGGAGAUUUGUUAAAUAGGCAGAUUCUUGGUUUCUACUUGCAGCCUACGAAAGCCUACACUAGCUGUGGGGAGCAGCGACCUUCAGUUGAAGGAGACUUGUAGGAAAUCUGACUGUUGGGGCUAAGGGUUAAGUAUGCUAGCCUGGGUUGGUAGUUCUUAGUUUUGGCUGGACAUUAAAAAUCAUCUGCACUUCUUUUCUGAUUGAAGACUCUGAUUGAAAUGAGUAUAGACAUUUCUGUAGCUGAACACUUCCAAAACUUAAAGUCAGUGUUCGGACUUGUGGCAGCACACUUCUAGACCCGGGUCCUGCAUAAGCCACUAGUGAUGCUAUAGUAGAUAUCUGUAGGGGAAUUUCCCCUAAUUAUUUGAUUGGCCAAUAGAGCUGAGAAGAAGCCAGUCGCUGGGUGAAGAUGAGGAGGCAGGCUUUCUGGUCUGAGAGAGGAAGAGGGGACCCGGGAGGAAGGAAUAGUCCUUCUUUCAGGUGAGUUAGAGUCAGAGGUGUGUAAGAUCCAGGCCAGGGACCCACAUGGUGGCUCAUAACCUUCUAUAACUCCAGUUCUAAGGGAUCUGAUAUCCUCUUCUGGCCUCUGAGGGUAUCACACACACGUGAUACACAGACAUACAUGUAGGUAAACACUCAUACACAUGAAAAAAAAUCUUUUAAAAAAUGACUAAAAGUUUUUGAAUAGCUUAAUGUAUUUAUGUUCCUCUUCACUAACAACUACAGGAAUUAAAAUGUAGUCCUCAAGAGGAAUAUCUCGCCACAACAGCCCUCUCCCACUUGGUAGGCAAUUAUCUUAUGUUAACAUCUAAGGUCACUAAGAAAUGAACACACUUUAUUUUAUAUUAAAUUAAAGCAUAUGUGAGAAUGCCCUUGGUUGCAAAGAGAGAGUAAUGAGUAUUAUUAUUAUUUAUUAUUAUUAUUUUGGUGGUAUAGUAUAGAGGAACAAUCCAGGGUGCUUCUGCACACAAGGUAAAUACCCCAUCACUGACUUAUAUAUAUAUUCUCUGCACUGUGGUCUCUUGUAAAGCUUUAGUUUGUUUUGAAUAUGUGCAUGUGGACAAGGCCAGGUUUCUGAAGCAACACAUUCAGGAGACCAAAUAAUUAUAGCCACCCUCUGCUAUCUCUUCCUCACUCCUCAGCUCUUGUAAUAAAUCUAAGAGAUGAAACUGUCUGCUUUAUAUUAUCUUCAGGAAAAAGACCUCACCCCUCUGAUGUCGGUGGCAGAAGGUCAAACGCAUCCCAGCACAUCGAGAGAGAUAAGAAGAAGCUGUGUACACCAGAGAAACCCAGAAAAGUGUACCAAGCUGUUCACCAUCAAAAUCAGGCAUAUUCGAAGGGCAGUUAGGAGGAAAAAAUGUGUUCGGGAAAGGAAAACCAGGAUCUCGUAGAAGAAUGCAGAAAAAAAGUCUGCUGGAGAGAAGCCUGCUCAGAAAAGAUAGGCAGUGGCUCCGCUAUAGCUUCCAAGCCCCCGGCUGGGGGAAAGGGCUUGAUUUUAGGGGAUGGAGCUUAAGAACAUCAAAAGCUGGGGCUAGAUGUCUGAGGCAGACCCAGCAAAGCAUCUGAAGACAGCCACGAUCUUUGAUCAGCUGCAAGUACAUUAAACGCUGUCCAGAGUUUCCCCCUAUCCGGACCCUUGGUGCCAUUGUGUCCCAGUCGCUUUGAUGUCCUUGUGGAGGAACUGAACAGAAUGUAAGGUGACUUUCCGCAGACAUAUUUUAGUUAAUGCUCGUCGCUGUCUCUAGGGACACGUUCCAGUGUGGGACGUAGAUGUAACCUCAUCCCCUUCACAGAAAACUGUCUGAUGCUCUAGGAGGAGCCCUAGAAUAUGACAGUCUGAGUUUAUAGUGAGCUGGAAAGAGUUACUUGUUGCCUGGGAAAUGUCUGCUCCUGUAGCCUGAGCGGCUGUGCUUUCGCUGAUAUCCACAUCAGCACCACUUCAGGGGCCACUGACGUCUCGGUUCUUCCUGCUUUUCUGGCUGUAUCACUGCAGAAGCAUCAAAGGUAUGGACGGCAUUUCCCAAUAGACGCACAUCGGGAAGUGCUUCCAUUCUAACAGCCACAUGCCUACAAAUCUUGUGCCAGGUCUUGGGUUUAAAUCCUCAGCUAAAUCCUUAGCACUAACUGGUAUGUAUCCAGGAGGCUGUCCUAAAUGGUUACAACAAUGUCAUUGCCCUUUUCGGGGGUGUAGUCAAUGGUAUUGCUAAAAGCAGACUCCCCUCCCUAAGUUCUUGGGUAGUCUAAGCUCUAAGCCUCUCUGUCUUCCAGCUCUGGGGAAGCAUUGCCAUUGUUCCCUUGGGUCUCAUGGUAGGAGUGAGCCUGAGAUAGACACCCCUCACAUAGAGCCACUCCGUGGGCCAGGUGAGAAAUGUGCCUGAGAUGACCACCAUAUUGGCACCUUAGGGUUUGGACAAGGAGCUAGCCUGAGAAAACCACCAGUUGGGUGCCAAGAAAUUCUAGGGUAGGGGGAGUAGGCCAUGUCUGAGAUGAUACCUACCCAGCACCAUAAUGCAUGACCAGGACAUAACACUCCUGAGACUACUCCUGAGAUAACCCCAGGCACUCAGAGACCCUGGGUGCCUCUAAGAGGAGCGAGUAAGUGGUGGGCAAAAGGAACAGAAAGAAAAACAGAAGGAGGUGGAGCCUAUGAAGAGAGACAGGACUGGAGACUCGAGGGUAGUGAGGAACGACCUAAUGUGAGUAGCCAGUGAUGCCACCUGGGACCAUGGUGGGUUCAGGCCUGUGCUGCCACCAAGGGCCAUGUCUAGAUACAUGGCCCUGAAGCCAGGCCUGGGACAUGUUGGUGUCUAAGUGUUGUGUAGAACUGGCCCCCUCAUCUGGGUUUCAUGGGAGAUCUUGCCCUGGGUGCAUGAGAACUGGGGUGCUGACUCCAGCUGCAGUGCCCAGGAGAUCAGCCUAGCACAUUGUGGGAGUUGUACAAGAGCCAGGCCCCCAAGGAUACUAGUGUGGGAGAGCUGGUCCUACCACUCAUCUCCUGUGCAGUGUCAUGGAUGAUGGAGAGAUAUCCUCUCCCCCACCCCCUCUCCACCUGCGGCAGUCAGGAGAGCUGACCCUGGGGUCAUAAGAGCAGAAGAGUUGGCCUUGCCCAUCACCAACUGCAGCACUUAAGAGAGUGGCCCCUGCACCUUGCCUAGGCAGCACAGUAGGGCUGUGCCUGGAUGUAAAGGAUGUGGGUGAGCUGGUUUUGAGGGAAUGAGUGUGGGAGAGGCAGAACUGCCCCUCUUGUCUGCUGGGUGGUGGUGUGGACCAGGGAGAGAUGCCAUUCUCCCCUCCCUCAGUCCUCACCAUCUAUAUCAGGCAGGAGAUCUGGGCCCAGGAUCAUGAGAGUGGGAGAACUGGCCAUGUCUCUUAUCAGCUAAAAUACUCGAGAGGGGGCCCUGCACCUCACCUGGGCAGGAGGGUAGAGCUGGCCCUGUAGCAGGGGUUGCUGGUGAGCUGGACCCAAGGGCAUGGGAUCUGGAGCACAGGUGGAAUGACCAGCUCAGAUCAGGCCCAGAUCCAGGGCUUUGAAUUGACCCACCCCAACAUUUACCCUACUGAUGAACUUCUGGAAGGCAUGUAUUGGCCAGUCUUACUGAUCCAAAACUACAGGAUCUCCACGACACAGGGCAACAGCAGGCUAUCCAAGAGGAGUCCCAAUGAUGAUCCAGUGUACCUCGUACCAGACUCAUUGCUAUGAACAUUUGCAAGGAAAGAGGUGUGAACAGAAGGGUAUAUUGUGGGACACAUUGUGACGCACUACAGCUUCCUUAGUGAGGUUUUCUUUUCCUCUGCUGUGGGAGAGGUUGCAAGGGUGGAGGGUGGUUACUAGAAAAGGGUGGGUCUGGGUCGGAUCGGGGUGCAUGAUGUGAAACUCACAAAGAACCAAUACAAAGUUAAAAACUUCUGUGUGCAUGACAUGGAGGACAGAAGCCAGCAUGGCACCAAAAGACAAAGCUGUGGCAUUGUCGCUGAUCAUAGAUGUAUGGCCCAGGAUACUACCUGGUUAAUUAGACAGUCUUAGUUAGUGAUGGAAAGAAGAAGAGUGAGCUCCUGGUUUCCAGUCAGAAUUGCAGGUGGACAAUCAGAAAACCUGACUUGAACGGUGAGGGCUUUUCCUACAGUCACAGGUGGAUGACAAGUCUGACAGGGUGAUUGCAUCUCUGGUGUACCGACAAAUGAAACAGCCAUACUGAGAGAAGACUUGGGCAGUGGUUUCAAAACUAAACACUUUGUCACAUGAUCUGCUUAUUGGCAGGCUCUUCUCCCAGAGAACAACAUUGCAUGUCUACCUAAAAAGCUGUAUAUACAUAGACAUAGAGACUUUGUUUAGAGUAGCCUCAAACUACAAGCAAGGCACAAACCCCCGGGGCUAAGUGAGUGGUAUUUUGACACAUAAAAUACCACUCACUGUUCAAAAGGGUCAGACGGAGUUGGUUGCUACACUUACCAACCUAGUAUGAGAGCAUGGCAGUGGGAGAAGAGGAAGGGGAGGCAGUCACAGAAAGCUACACAUGGUGUGAGUCCAUUGAUUUAACAUUCUCAAAGUAACAAAAUCAGAGAGAUAGGAAAUAAAUGAUACUAGCCAAGGGUUACAUGGUGAAGGAAGAAUAGGCAGGACUGCAAAGGAGGUCUUUGUCAUGAGGAGUGGAUUUCUUUAUUGUUCUGAUUGUACUGUGAUUUGGAACUAUUGUAGAAUGGCCACAGGGCUACACACACACACACACACACACACACUCACACUCACUCACACAUACACACACACACACACACAAACACACACCGCAUGCAUGCACAAGUGAUGGGCGCAACUACAGGAUCCCAGUCUAUAUGUUUUAAAUUUUGUUUUCCAACGUCCUGUGACUCUGAUCAUUUUAAAAUUAUAACGUUUUAAAAUACACGUGUUAAAGUUUUGGAUGCACAAUAGAUUCACAUGAUUUAGAAGCCAAAAUAUACAAAGUAGUGUACUUUGAAAACAUUCUCUGUUGUAGCCAGAAAAAAAUCUAUCAGCUUAAUGAGUGCAUAGUCGGGGACACCCCUGCAGAAAAUAAAUGGUAAGCUCUAGUGUAUGUGUAUUGGGGGUGACUCUGGGGAAUUAUUGCUCACAAGGUGUGUGGAUGGCUGGGAAAAACUCACAAAACACAGCUGAGCAUGCCAGAGCCAGCAAGAGCAGGGCAGGGCUGUGGGAAAUGGACAGUUGCUAGGGAGGGCCAAAAGAAGAAGCAGUUGUUGAAGCUAAAAAGUGUUAGGAGCAUUAGGCUGUAAAAAGAAACAUGGCUACUGCUAACCUGCUGAUAACGGAGACGGGCUGUGAAAGAAAUACUUCUUAUUCCCUUUCCCUUCCCUCUCCCAGUUGUCAACAACCAGAGAAAAGUAAGAAGACAACGCCAUACUGUGACUUUCCAGAGUGGGUUCCCCAACCAGCUGGCUUUCCUUCCAACAUUCCUAACCCUUAGAAUGCAAGGGAGCGCAAUUCUCAUUCUUUUUGUUUGCUUGUCUCUGUAGGGUUUCCCUACUUAAUUCAGCCCUGUUUCCAACUGGCUUCUCACACCUACUGCUCCAUAUCAUUCAAGUGACAGGAGUUUGCCCCACACUGCCUCAAAAUUCUCAUUCCUUUUUUGUUUUAUGUGUGUGAGUGUUUGGCUUGCAGGAAUGUAAGUGUGCCGUGUGUGUGUGUGUGUGUCUGGCGCUAGUGGGUUGGAAGAGAGCAUGAGAUUCCCCUAGAAAUGGAGUUAUGAUUGGCAGUGAGUGCCAGGAAGAAAUUUCACACUCAUGUGGGUGCUAGGAAUGGAACCAGGGUCUUGUAAGAAGAGCAAGAAGUGCUCUUGACCGCAGAACCAUCUCUCUCUCUCCUCUUUCUUCAGGUUGUUAUCUUCAAUCCCUCCUUUCAUGCUUUGUUGUUGUUCUGUUUUUCUUAAAGUUGGAGUGCUAACAUCACUCGCUGCUUUACGUUUCAGACGGUAUAAGGAUUUACUUAGGAGCUGGCUAUGUAUUUUUGAGUUAACAAAACAAAGCACAACAAGAGAGGAGACAAAUUCUGGAUCUCUCUGGCCUGUAGCCAAGAUGCUGUAAGCAAUGCAGCUUGUCAAAGGGUCCCAAAGUCUUAUUCUUACAGCUCUUAGUCUGGCCAGCCUAGCGGGUAGACGGUUGACAGGGACUUUAAAGAAGACUCACCUGUUUAUCCUGCACCUUUGAAUUUUUAUUAUGCUUGGAAUAGAACACAGACUCUUCACCAAUACACGCCUGACCAUGUGAUCUGUGGCCUACCCUCCCAAUUUGGCUGAUGAGCCCUUUCUGUGACUUAUAAUCGUAUAUACACCAGCCCUCCACUCAAACACCAACCUCAUUCGACCCUGAGCUCCCAGCAGUGCUGGUCCCCGGAUCAUUGCUUGCCCAGCAGCAGCUGCUGCCUUUCCUUCUCUUCCUUCACUGCAGAAGCAAAUGCUCCAUUUAUUAGCGCUGAUGUUAGAUCUGCUGACCAGAGAGAAGGUGCACACGCUUGUUUGUGUGACAAAAACAAAUGUGUUUAUACAUCAAGCUUGCUGUUAGAAGAGGAAAAAAAAUGACAAUGUGUUUAUUAAUCAUGAAGAUGCAUGAAGAGGCUGAGAAAUAAGAAGUGUAUGACAAGCCUAGUAAUUUGUGCAGGAUAAAUAAAAAUAUGAAAAAUUAGAAGUAUUGAUUAUUAGGUAAUGCCACAGCUAUGGAAACUUUGAGGUUUACACACACACACACACACACACACACACUUCCUCCUAUCAUUACACAACACCCAGAAUUCUUACUGAUUUAUUGUUUGCAGAUAGACAUUUCCUGGAGUCCUUACUGUAAAGAGGGAUGAUGGUCAGGACCAGGAAAGCAAGCAUCGUGGGCACACCCUCUCCACUCCGCCCCCCCCCCCCCAGGAAUAUCUACAUUUUCUAAACCCAAGUAAACCCAGCAAAAAUGAGCAAUUGCGGGAAAGCUGUUGGGUAAACAACAUUUAAAAUCAUUUCCCCAUCCCUGAUAAAGAUAGCUUCAGCUCACUGCUACUGAAUAUUAACAUUUAUGAACUGUUCUACUGAGUCCUGCAGAGCAUCACGCUUAUGCAAUAGCAUCACAAAUCUUUUCUACCUCAGACUUAGACAAAUAAGGUAUACUGUCUCUCAUUUGUAGUUUCUAGAGUUUAUUUAGGUACAUGAAACCAGGCAUGUAUACAUGACAGAGAAGUCGAAGUGAAACUGUUGAGGGGGGCAAAAGGAAUUUGGAGGGGUGUUGAAAAAGGAAGGAUAGGGCUGGAGAGAUGGAUCAGCAGCUAAGAGCACUGACUGAUCUUCCAGCGAUCCUAAGUUCAGUUCCCACGUGGUGGCUCACAAUCAUCUGUAAUGGGAUCCAAUGCCCUCUCCUGGUUUGUCUGAAGAGAGAGAUAGUGUGCCAUACAUUAAAUAAAUAAAUAAAUAAAUAAAUAAAUAAAUAUCUUUAAAAGAAAAGAAAACGAAAGGAUAGGGACUCAGGGAGGAAUGUGUUUGACAUAUAAACUUGUGUGAAACUAUCCUUUUGGAACACAGAACCUUGUGCAAUGGAUACAUACAGUGACAUUGUUUGGAACCCCCCCCCCCCAGAGCCCACUGAUACCAUCGGAAACACAGUGAUUGUUUGGGAAAGGGUUUUUCGUUCAAGAUUUGUUUUUAUUUUAUGUGUGUGGGUGUAGCCUGCAUAUGUAUCCGAAGAGAUGACUCAGUGGGUGAUGUUCUCAUUGUACAAGCAUGAGGACCAGAGUUCAGAUCCCCUGCACACAUGUAAGUGCCAUCUUGGCAAGGGUGGUCUGCCUAUGAUCCUACAGUGUGAGAGGCCAACACAGGGAUCCUCAAAGGAAGCUAGAUAGCUAGACAAGCCAAUCAGUGAGCUCGAGGGUCAAGUAAAAACCCUGCCUCAAUCCAUAAGAUGGACAGCAGUGGAGGGAGACACCCUACAUCAACCUUGGGCCUACACCUAUACGUGCACACACAUGCACAUGAAUGCCUGUACACAGCUGGGCAGUGGUGGUGCAUGCCUUUAGUCCUAGCACUUGGGAAGCAGAGGUAGGCAGAUACCUGAGCUCGAGGCCAGCCUGGUCUACAGAGUGAGUUCCAGGAUAGCCAGGGCUACACAGAG